rnacentral:rRNA from 1 species
UGGGGAAUAUUGGACAAUGGGCGCAAGCCUGAUCCAGCAAUGCCGCGUGAGUGAGGAAGGCCUUAGGGUUGUAAAGCUCUUUCACCCGCGACGAUGAUGACGGUAGCGGGAGAAGAAGCCCCGGCUAACUUCGUGCCAGCAGCCGCGGUAAUACGAAGGGGGCGAGCGUUGUUCGGAUUUACUGGGCGUAAAGGGCGCGCAGGCGGCUCAUUUUGUCAGGCGUGAAAGCCCCGGGCUUAACCUGGGAACUGCGUUUGAUACGGAUGGGCUAGAGUUCGGGAGAGGAGAGUGGAAUUCCCAGUGUAGAGGUGAAAUUCGUAGAUAUUGGGAAGAACACCGGUGGCGAAGGCGGCUCUCUGGACCGAUACUGACGCUGAGGCGCGAAAGCGUGGGGAGCAAACAG